GUGCUCACUCCAUCAGCACAGAUGCUAAAAGUGGAACGAUACAGACAAGAUCAGCAUGGCCCCUGGGCAAGGAUGACUUGCAAAUUUGUGAAGCAUCCCAUAUUUUU